CUCAGCUGGAUAGAGUACUCGGCUACGAACCGAGCGGU
rnacentral:rRNA from 1 species